GACAGAGGAUGCAAGCGUUAUCCGGAAUGAUUGGGCGUAAAGCGUCUGUAGGUGGCUUUCAAGUCCGCCGUCAAAUCCCAGGGCUCAACCCUGGACAGGCGGUGGAAACUACCAAGCUGGAGUACGGUAGGGGCAGAGGGAAUUUCCGGUGGAGCGGUGAAAUGCAUUGAGAUCGGAAAGAACACCAACGGCGAAAGCUCUGCGGGCCGACACUGGACACUGAGAG
rnacentral:rRNA from 1 species